rfam:TPA: Bos taurus chromosome 11, whole genome shotgun sequence.
UCCCUGGUAGCUCAGAUGCUAAAGCGUCUGCCUAGAAUCCAGAAGACCCGGGUUCGAUUCCUGGGUUGGGAA